GACGAACGCUGGCGGCGUGCCUAAUACAUGCAAGUUGAGCGCUGCCGGCUGGUACUUGUACCCACUGGUUGAGCAGCGAACGGGUGAGUCACGCGUGGGGAAUCUGCCUUUGAGCGGGGGACAACAUUUGGAAACGAAUGCUACUACCGCAUAAAAACUUUAAACACAAGUUUUAAGUUUGAAAGAUGCAAUUGCAUCACUCAAAGAUGAUCCCGCGUUGUAUUAGCUAGUUGGUGGGGUAAAGGCUCACCAAGGCGAUGAUACAUAGCAGACCUGAGAGGGGGAGCGGCCACGCUGGGACGGGGACACGGCCCGAAAUCCUACGAGAGAGAGCAGGAGGGGAUCUUCAGCGAAGGACGAAGGGCGGACCAAUCAACGCCGCGUGAGUGAAUAAGGUAGUCAGGUCGUAAGACUCAGUAAGGAGUGAAGAACGUAAAGGUGUGUUGAAAGCGCAGAUAAUGACGGUAACGGCCCAAAAAGCGACGGCUAACUACGUG
rnacentral:rRNA from 1 species